GAGUGCACUUAGCCAUGUGUAUCCUUGGGGAUAUAACUAACUUCUUUGUUAUGUUUUUGUUUAGAGUCUGUCCCCCUGGUUCGGGGACCUUCUUAUUCCCUGAUAGACCCCAAGGACCUAGAACACAGCUUGGCAGUCGGAAGGCACUCAGGAAAUAUUUGUCCAAUGAAUGGAUUUAUGAGUGAGGCUAGAAUUCUGUCUUCUGAGAAUAACUGAGAAGAAAGGUGCCAUGUUGGAGAGACCCAAGUGGCAAGAACUGGGUGGCUGUUGGCCAACAUCCAGUGAGGAACUGAGGCCCUCAAUUCAACAGCCUGCAAAGAACUGGAUCCAGCCGAACUGGAGCUCGGAAAGCAGAUCCUUCCGCAGGAAAGGAAACCAAGGCUGGGCUGGCAAGGUGGUCGCCUCCCUUUAUCACAUUGAGGUGUCAGACCGAGUGGGUUUGUGAUCGUCCGCACUAUUUUCUGAUGCAACUGUGAACACUGCUUGCUGGCUGGGAAAGGAGCUGAAGGCCACAUCUGGAGGGAGAGGCGAGGAGGCUGGAGUUUGCUGACCAAAACCCUCGUCCUCCACUGGAGGGAGCAGCCUGUCCACAGGUGGGGCUGUCCCUGGGGAGCAGGAACUCCUCUCCUGCACGCACGCCUGCAGGAUAGCGGCCCUCUGUGUUCAGAUAACUGUUAUUGCCAUUAUUAAUUGCUCACUGUUAUUAUCCUGUAGGCAUUAAGUGGCUUCCCCUGUCCUUAGAGUAGGAAUGAUGAGAGAGCGUGGGGCAAGCUGAGGGCAAGGUACAGCUAAUACCCCUCCACGCCCACCACCCAAGUGGAAUAGGUGUGAUAUUCCCUGGACACCCCUGGCUCCCCAAGAACAAAGGAAAGGGGUUCAAGUGGGUAAUGUGGGAAACUAAGGCAAAUGAAAAAUUAAAUUCCCUUACUGCCUAUAGCCCAUUGACAAGUCCUUGGAACAGGCAGAGUGACCUCCCUCCAGGAGCUCAGCUGCCUCAAGGAUGACGCUUUGUUAGGGGCAAUAGGGAAACUUGGCUUAACAUUAUCCUGACCCCCCCCCAGGAUCCUGCGAGUCUACUUUAACAUAUAAAAAUUCCUUUGGAAACUUCCUUUGUCUCAACUUCCCCAAGACAUAUGCUGGCAAUCAUACUCCAAGCUUAUGGCCUCCUGCUAUACAUCUGAAGGGUCUCGUGACUGAGGUUUUACUAAACGGUAAUAAAUGGGGUUUUCCUAGCAACAGCUAGCCCCUCGAGGUCCUGGAAACCUUGCUUCCAAAAUUCCUUAGAGAUUUACCCUGUCCCUAAGCUCCUCCCAACUUGAGGGUAUAUAAUCAGUUACCUGUCACAACCCAAGUAUAGCUUUCUCUGCCCACGGGCUCUGUCCCCAUGCUUUAAUAAAAUCACCUUUUUGCACCAAAGACGUCUUCAAGAAGCCUUUCUUGGCCGUUGGCUCCGGACCACCCCACCAUCACCCCCAAGCCCCAUCAGUAACACUCGAGCAGCGAGGUCAAAACAAGGCUUUACUCCUGCAAGACUCUGAUCAUCUGUCCCUCCCUGAGGGUCCUCGGCAGUUAGCCAUUUUACAGACGGAGAAACUGAGUCUUCCAUUCCUUGCUUAAUUGAGGGCCGAAUCCACCUAGAUGCGCCACCCCUCCUUUCCCUUCAGGAAAGUCCUAGCCCUGCUGGGGGCACAGGUGAAGGGAGAGGGGUGCUGCCCUCCGGAGCGUGCGACCAAUAAGGGCCCAAAGACAGGACUGUCAAGAUCAUCACCCACUGCAGGACAAAAGCCACCGCGUCGCAAAGGAACCCAGCCCCAGCGCAGCAAACAUCGGGGCCAGGAGGUGCCACUGAGGUCUCUCCUAAGCCUUUCUUGCCAGCUCAUUUGCCUGCCAGGCCAGUGUCUUACCAACCGGGAGAGAAGGGUAGGUGUCUCUGCUCCAUCCACACCACCGCAUGGGACAGGGAAGGCCCCGUGGAGUCUGAGCUGGGUGCCAACUUCCAGGAACACGAAUGGGGGUGGGGAUGGGCGGUGCUGCU